CCUCAAAUCAGGUAGAACUACCCGCUGAACUUAAGCAUAUCAAUAAGCGGAGGAAAAGAAACUAACAAGGAUUCCCCUAGUAACGGCGAGUGAAGCGGGAUGAGCUCAAAUUUAAAAUCUGGCGGUCUCAGAUCGUCCGAGUUGUAGUCUAGAGAAGCGUUUUCCGUGCUGGCCUGUGUACAAGUCCGUUGGAACACGGCGUCAUAGAGGGUGAGAAUCCCGUCCUUGACACAGAUCUCCAGUGCUUUGUGAUGCGCUCUCAAAGAGUCGAGUUGUUUGGGAAUGCAGCUCAAAAUGGGUGGUAAAUUCCAUCUAAAGCUAAAUAUUGGCGAGGAACCGAUAGCGAACAAGUACCGUGAGGGAAAGAUGAAAAGCACUUUGGAAAGAGAGUUAAACAGUACGUGAAAUUGUUGAAAGGGAAACGAUUGAAGUCAGUCAUGCUUUCCGAGACUCAGCCGGUUCUGCCGGUGUACUUCUCGGUUUGCAGGCCAGCAUCAGUUUUGGGCGGUGGAAAAGGUUGGCGGGAAUGUGGCAUCCUCGGAUGUGUUAUAGCCCGCUUUCGAAUACAUCGCCCGGGACCGAGGAACGCAGCACGCCUCUUGUAGGUCGGUCUUCGGACACGUCCGUGCUUAGGAUGCUGGCAUAAU
rnacentral:rRNA from 1 species